rnacentral:rRNA from 1 species
GAUGAACGCUGGCGGCGUGCCUAACACAUGCAAGUCGAGCGAACAGACGAGGAGUUUUCUCCCCUGACGUUAUCGGCGGACGGGUGAGUAACAUGUGGUUAACCUACCUAUAAGAAUGGGAUAAUUUCGCGAAAUCAGAGCUAAUACCGGAUAAUUUAUUGAAUUUGAUUGUUCAAUCGUUAAAGUCGGUUUUUCUUUCACUAAUAGCUUGAUCAGCCCCUCAUUCGUUAGUUGGCAAGGUAACGGCUUACCAACACUACGAUGCGUAGCCGACCUGAGAGGGUGAUCGGCCACACUGGAACUGAGACACGGCCCAGACUCCGAGGGGGGGCAGCAGUAGGGAAUCUUACGGGAUGGGGGAGAGGGUGACGGAGGAACGCCGCGUGAGGGAUGAAGGACUUCGGAUCGGUGAGCUCUGUUGUUAGGAGGGAACAAAUGUGUAAGUAACUAUGAAGGUCUUGACGGUACCGGAAGAGAAAGCCACGGCUAACUACGUG